rnacentral:ncRNA from 1 species
UAAAGGUUCAGUCGCCGCCUUCAAGAGCACCGACGGCUAACUCUGUGCCACCAGCCUCGGUAAGACAGAGGAUGAAAGCGUUAUCCAGAAUGAUUGGGCGUAAAGCAUUUGUAGGUGGCUUUUCAAGUCCGCCGUCAAAUCCCAUGGCUCAACCCUGGACACGCAGUGGAAACUACCAAGCUGGAGUACGGUAGGGGCAGACGGAAUUUCCGGUGGAGUGAUGAAAUGGAUUGAGAUCGGAAAGAACACCACGGUGAAAGCACUCUCCUAGGCCGACACAGACACUGAGAGACGAAAGCUAGGGGAGCAAAUGGGAUUAGAGACCCCAGUAGUCCUAGCCGUGGCACCUUGCAUUGUGUGAGGGC